UUUACUGACCGCUAGAUGCCACUGUCUUCAGUUGAUUUUGUCAUGUUUAACCUGCAUCAUGAAACAUGGCGAAACAAAUUGUUGCUAUUGUAUACUUAUUUUUCUGUGAUUCUGAAUACUGAAUUGAACUUCGUUUGUAAAGUCAGUCCGUCAUUCCAACAAGGUUAUACUUAGUGCUCACUGCUCAGCCAAUUUCCAUCCAUUAAAUCCUUAUGCUGUCAAAAGCCUGAAACUCAUAUUUGAAGCCCACAUACAGUGAAAUUAGACAAAAGUUCUUGAGCAUGGACCAUAGGAUCUUUUCUGAAUCUUGCAAGUGUAACCUGUGUCAGAAUGUUUGUCGAGUGUACAACUGUUUCUACAGCUGUUCAGAAGGCAGCUGAGAUAUUGAGUUCCACUUUCAGCGAAUGUACAUGAAGAGUGUGAAGUGUAUUUAGUACAUGUACCGGAUCUGCUUGAUGAAAGUCAAAUGCCUUACUGAAUUCAUCACCCAUUUGAAUAAGCAUCAGGAAAUUUAUCUCAAUGUGUGGAGUAAUGCUGUUGGUUGC